rnacentral:tRNA from 1 species
GGAGGCGUGGCCGAGUGGUUGAUGGCACUAGUCUUGAAAACUAGAGACCCCGAAAGGGGUUCGUAGGUUCGAAUCCUACCGCCUCCGCAA